UGGACGAAAGUCUGACCGAGCAACGCCGCGUGAGUGAAGAAGGUUUUCGGAUCGUAAAGCUCUGUUGUAAGAGAAGAACGAGUGUGAGAGUGGAAAGUUCACACUGUGACGGUAUCUUACCAGAAAGGGACGGCUAACUACGUGCCAGCAGCCGCGGUAAU
rnacentral:rRNA from 1 species